AAACAAGUUCCCAACGCCUUUUACUGCUCCUCUAGAUCACUAACGUCAGGGCCUACGCCUUCACCAACUCCACGCUGAUCCUUUCUUUGCAUCCCCUGGAAAGCAUCUUCCGGCUUGCCUUUCGUCAACUCGUCCUCUCGUCCGCUGCUGUACUCCGACUCGUCAAUCCACCGGUUCACAGGACUAGCUGUCGGAAUACACGACCAAUAUCCUCGGCGGCCUCUUCUCCACAUCCUCCGCAACCUCCUCGAGCCAUCCAAUUCACCUGUCCAGACAGAAAUUGCCAGCUUUGCCUUGGGGGGAGGCGCCAUCAACGUGCUUCGUGCACCUUGGUCGCCUAGGGAGUAGACCUUGAGGUCGUAGCCUACAAAUUGCAGAACACUUGAGCCUCGUACCCUCAGGCCAUUCCCUCGGUUCCCGUUUGCUGGCAGUGGAUAAUUUCUCGGUUGAUGAUGUCGUAGUAGCGUCUUUGGGCCAAAGAGCUCUAAGAUCGGGCAACGCUCGUCGUAUCCAAGAGGCGCUUCGGACAUACAGUAGCGCCAAAUAGGCACCGGAGCGUUCGAUAAGAAUCUUGUCAUGGAGCCCAAUGGCCCACUUCUUGAUGGAGAGUCGGAGCAGCUGGACGAAGGUAAUAGCAGAGAGUCAGGCGCGGCCCAAUUUGGAUGAAUUCUGGGGGAGCCUGUUGCAUUGUACGUCAUUGAGAGUUUGGAGGUUUGCGUCACGUUGUGCCUCCCAGAGCUCAGAAAAUCGGGCGCGCUGAGGGGCGGGAGUGGGUGUGGAAAGGAUGUAAAUGAGUUCGCCGUGGGAAAGGAGGAGUGGUCGUUAUGUUAUACACUCAGGCAUUGCCUAGUAGAACAACGUUUACUGAUAGAGUACUCGAAAUGCAUCGAGUCAGAGC
rnacentral:sRNA from 1 species